rnacentral:rRNA from 1 species
GUAGGGAAUAUUGGUCAAUGGACGAAAGUCUGAACCAGCCAUUCCGCGUGCAGGAAGAAGAUUCUAUGGAUUGUAAACUGCUUUUAGCAGAGAAGAAACGCCUUCAUUGAUGAGGGUUUGACGGUAUCUGCGGAAUAAGCACCGGCUAACUCCGUGCCAGCAGCCGCGGUAAUACGGGGGUGCAAGCGUUAUCCGGAAUCACUGGGUUUAAAGGGUGCGUAGGCGGGAAAUUAAGUCAGUGGUGAAAGUCUGUUGCUUAACGAUAGAAUUGCCGUUGAUACUGAUUUUCUUGAAUUGGGUUGAGGUUAGCGGAAUGUGACAUGUAGCGGUGAAAUGCAUAGAUAUGUCAUGGAACACCAAUUGCGAAGGCAGCUAGCUGGGCCUUGAUUGACGCUGAGGCACGAAAGCGUGGGUAGCGAACAGGAUUAGAAACCCUGGUAGUCC